rnacentral:rRNA from 1 species
GAUCAUGGCUCAGGAUGAACGCUAGCUACAGGCCUAACACAUGCAAGUCGAGGGAAACGGCAGCUUAGCUUGCUAAGCUGGACGUCGACCGGCGCACGGGUGAGUAACGCGUAUCCAACCUGCCCCACGGUGAGGGAUAACCCCGCGGAAAACGCGGCCUAAUACCUCAUGGCCUCCGAGCUUGACAUCAACCUUGGAGUAAAGAUUCAUUGCCGUGGGAUGGGGAUGCGUCUGAUUAGCUUGUUGGCGGGUAACGGCCCACCAAGGCGACGAUCAGUAGGGGUUCUGAGAGGAAGGUCCCCCACAUUGGAACUGAGACACGGUCCAAACUCCUACGGGAGGCAGCAGUGAGGAAUAUUGGUCAAUGGGCGAGAGCCUGAACCAGCCAAGUAGCGUGCAGGAUGACGGCCCUAUGGGUUGUAAACUGCUUUUAUAAGGGAAUAAAGUGAGCCUCGUGAGGCUUUUUGCAUGUACCUUAUGAAUAAGGACCGGCUAAUUCCGUG